AAAAAAAAUAAAGAAAGAAAAGAAAAAAAGAGACAGAAGAAAAGAAAAAGAAAAGAAAACAAACUGAAAACGGAACUAAAAUAAACAAGUGUCAAAAUGUCAUAACCACCACCACCACCACCACCACCACCCACCACCACCAUGACUUCACUUCCCAAUGUCACUGCAACCACAACGGAGAGUCUAAGUGUGGCUGAACAUCUGUCACAAGAGUCCCAUAUGCUUGACGUGACUGUUUGGCUCAUGAUAUUCUGCAUCUUCACUUUCUUCUUCAUCAUCAUCGUUGCUUCAAUCUGCAUGCACUGGAUGGAGGUGCGAAGCUACCACAGAUCAGGGGGAAUGGUGGUGAUUCCUCAGGGCCCCGUGCCAGCCUGCGUCACCCUCCUCUCCUCCAGCCAGCCCCACGUCAGGCUCCUCGAGCACUACCACCCACACCCCUUCUACGGCGCCCACGUCAGUUCGCAGCCAGUCCUCCCCGUCUCUCUCUAAAAAGGCCACUGACAUCCCAGCCAGGAAAGAAUGAUGUCACAAGGAGGGCGUCACGUGACAAAGAGGCCGUGACGUCACCUCUUGCCCCGUCAGUGUUGCCAUAUCAGUACUUAACGCCUACCCAGUAUUGCCAAAUAUAUGCAACAUGACACUUAAAGAAUAUAGUUACUUCAAUAUUUGUUACGUAGUUUGUUAUAUUUACAACUGGAUGUGUUAUUGUGUGUUAUUGAAGAGUUGAACUAAAAUAAUGUGCUUCGGAAUAUUGUUGCGAAAAAUAUGUAAGAUUUGUAAUAUAUUAGGUGAAAUUAAAGGAGGAUGAAAAAUAAGAGAAAAAUAACAACAACAAUAAUAACAAUAACAAGGAAAUGUAAGAAAAAAUUCGCUUAUUAAUCUCAUGUAAGGUUUGUAAUAAAUUAGGUGAAAGUAAAGGAAGAGGAUGAAAAAAAAAAAAGAGGAAAACGAGUAACAACAACAACAACAACAACAACAACAACAAAACGAAAAAGUAAGCAAAAAUUCCCUUAUCAAUCUCAACCAACACCACCACCAUCACCACCACCACCACCACCACCACCGCCAAGAAAAAAAAAAAAAAAAAAAUUCAUCUACUCGUACACUGAAAAACUGGUGAAGAGGAGACAGCAAUUCCAGGAAGCUUGUGAGUGUUGUUCCUGUGAGCCAGUGUUGCUGUACCCAGUGUUGCCUCAGCGCGGUGUGUUACUUAUCAGGUUGUAUUGAAUAUAUCUUAUUAUCUUAUUUAUUUCAGUAUUUCGUUUGUUUAUUAUUUUCCGAGACGUGAGGGAAUUCAUAUGUUGAAUUGAAGUAAAGUAGAAAAUGAAGGAAACAGCA
rnacentral:misc_RNA from 1 species